CUGCUUGGAACCUACAUAUGGUUGAGGGGUUU
rnacentral:rRNA from 1 species